AUUGAACGCUGGCGGCAGGCCUAACACAUGCAAGUCGAACGAGUGGCGGACGGGUGAGUAAUGUCUGGGAAACUGCCUGAUGGAGGGGGAUAACUACUGGAAACGGUAGCUAAUACCGCAUACCAUCGGAUGUGCCCAGAUGGGAUUAGCUUGUUGGUGGGGUAACGGCUCACCAAGGCGACGAUCCCUAGCUGGUCUGAGAGGAUGACCAGCCACACUGGGACUGAGAAAAGGGCCAGACUCCUACGGGAGGCAGCAGUGGGGAAUAUUGCACAAUGGGCGCAAGCCUGAUGCAGCCAUGCCGCGUGUAUGAAGAAGGCCUUAGGGUUGUAAAGUACUUUCAGCGGGGAGGCGUUAACCGAAGAAGAAGCACCGGCCAACUCCGUGCCAGCAGCCGCGGUAAUAC
rnacentral:rRNA from 1 species